rnacentral:rRNA from 1 species
UGCUAAGACUGGAUAGGAAAAGUAAAGGCAUCUUUACUUUUUUAAAAGACCUUCUUUGAAGGUAUACUUAAGGAGGGGCUUGCGACACAUUAGUUAGUUGGCAGGGUAAAGGCCUACCAAGACUAUGAUGUGUAGCUGGACUGAGAGGUUGAACAGCCACAUUGGGACUGAGACACGGCCCAAACUCCUACGGGAGGCAGCAGUAGGGAAUUUUCGGCAAUGGAGGAAACUCUGACCGAGCAACGCCGCGUGAACGAUGAAGUACCUCGGUAUGUAAAGUUCUUUUAUUAAGGAAGAAAAAAGAGUGGAAAAACUCCCUUGACGGUAUUUAAUGAAUAAGCCCCGGCUAAAUUAUGUGCCAGCAGCCGCGGUAAUACAUAAGGGGCGAGCGUUAUCCGGAAUUAUUGGGCGUAAAGGGUGCGUAGGCGGUUUAAUAAGUCUAUAGUUUAAUUUCAGUGCUUAACGCUGUUGUGCUAUAGAAACUGUUUUACUAGAGUGAGUUAGAGGCAAGCGGAAUUCCAUGUGUAGCGGUAAAAUGCGUAAAUAUAUGGAGGAACACCAGAGGCGUAGGCGGCUUGCUGGGACUUUACUGACGCUGAGGCACGAAAGCGUGGGGAGCAAACAGGAUUAGAUACCCUGGUAGUCCACGCCGUAAACGAUGAGUACUAAGUGUCGGGUAAAACCGGUACUGAAGUUAACACACUAAGUACUCCGCCUGAGUAGUACGUACGCAAGUAUGAAACUUAAAGGAAUUGACGGGACUCCGCACAAGCGGUGGAUCAUGUUGUUUAAUUCGAAGAUACACGAAAAACCUUACCAGGUCUUGACAUUUUCUUGCGAAGUUAUAGAAAUAUAAUGGAGGUUAUCAGGAAAACAGGUGGUGCAUGGUUGUCGUCAGCUCGUGUCGUGAGAUGUUAGGUUAAGUCCUAAAACGAGCGCAACCCUUGUCGUUAAUUGCCAGCAUGUAAUGAUGGGGACUUUAACGAGACUGCCAAUGAAAAAUUGGAGGAAGGUGGGGAUUACGUCAAAUCAUCAUGCCCCUUAUGAUCUGGGCUACAAACGUGAUACAAUGGUUGAUACAAAGAGUAGCUGAAACGCGAGUUCUUAGCCAAUCUCACAAAAUCAAUCUCAGUUCGGAUUGAAGUCUGCAACUCGACUUCAUGAAGUUGGAAUCGCUAGUAAUCGCGAAUCAGCAUGUCGCGGUGAAUACGUUCUCGGAGUUUGUACACACCGCCCGUCA